rnacentral:rRNA from 1 species
UACGGAGGGUGCGAGCGUUGUCCGGAAUCACUGGGCGUAAAGGGCGCGUAGGCGGCUGUGUAAGUCACUUGUGAAAUCCCGGGGCUCAACUCCGGGGCUGCAGGUGAGACUGCAUGGCUAGAGCACGGUAGAGGCAAGUGGAAUUCCCGGUGUAGCGGUGGAAUGCGUAGAUAUCGGGAAGAACACCGGUGGCGAAGGCGGCUUGCUGGGCCGUUGCUGACGCUGAUGCGCGAAAGCGUGGGGAGCAAACAGG